GUGAGGCUACCGAACGUUGGAAACAGCGGUUAGGAGCUUNNNNNNNCCGUGUUUACAUACUAUUGUUGCUUUGGCGGGCCGUGGCCUCCACUGCGGGCUCUGCUCGUGUGUGCCCGCCAGAGAACCAAACUCUGAAUGUUAGUGAUGUCUGAGUACUAUCUAAUAGUUAAAACUUUCAACAACGGAUCUCUUGGUUCUGGCAUCGAUGAAGAACGCAGCGAAAUGCGAUAAGUAAUGUGAAUUGCAGAAUUCAGUGAAUCAUCGAAUCUUUGAACGCACAUUGCGCCCUGUGGUAUUCCGCAGGGCAUGCCUGUUCGAGCGUCAUUUAACCACUCACGCCUAGCGUGGUAUUGGGGCACGCGGUCUCCGCGGCCCUCAAAAUUAGUGGCGGCGCCGGUGGGCUCUAAGCGUAGUACAUACUCCCGCUAUAGAGUUCCCCCCGGUGGCUCGCCAGAACCCCCAAUUUUUUACAGGUUGACCUCGGAUCNNNUAGGGAUACCCGCUGAACUUAA
rnacentral:rRNA from 1 species